rnacentral:piRNA from 1 species
UGUGUAGACUUGACAUGAUUAUUAAUGCCC